UACGUAGGGGGCAAGCGCUGUCCGGAAUCAUUGGGCGUAAAGCGCGUGUAGGCGGUCCGGUAAGUCCGCUGUGAAAGUCGGGGGCUCAACCCUCGGAUGCCGGUGGAUACUGUCGGGCUUGAGUACGGAAGAGGCGAGUGGAAUUCCUGGUGUAGCGGUGAAAUGCGCAGAUAUCGGGAGGAACACCAAUGGCGAAGGCAGCUCGCUGGGACGGUACUGACGCUGAGACGCGAAAGCGUGGGGAGCAAACAGG
rnacentral:rRNA from 1 species